rnacentral:lncRNA from 1 species
GGUAAACGUCCAUUAAGUACUUUUGGUGAUCGGAGGUGCUGGACUGGACGUGGACUUCACGCUGGAGAGCCCUCAGGGCGUGCUGUUGGUCAGCGAGUCCCGCAAGGCUGAUGGGGUACACACGGUGGAGCCAACGGAGGCCGGGGACUACAAGCUGUGCUUUGACAACUCCUUCAGCACCAUCUCCGAGAAGCUGGUGUUCUUUGAACUGAUCUUUGACAGCCUCCAGGAUGACGAGGAGGUCGAAGGAUGGGCAGAGGCUGUGGAGCCCGAGGAGAUGCUGGAUGUUAAAAUGGAGGACAUCAAGGAGUCCAUUGAGACCAUGCGGACCCGGCUGGAGCGCAGCAUCCAGAUGCUCACGCUACUGCGGGCCUUCGAGGCACGUGACCGCAACCUGCAAGAGGGCAACUUGGAGCGGGUCAACUUCUGGUCAGCUGUCAACGUGGCGGUGCUGCUGCUGGUGGCUGUGCUGCAGGUCUGCACGCUCAAGCGCUUCUUCCAGGACAAGCGCCCGGUGCCCACGUAGCCCCUGCCAUGGAAGGAAGAACGGGACAAAGGAGGGGCAGCAGGGUGUGUGCAUAUGAGACUUGGGGGUCCCUCCCCAAUUUUAGUUUCCUGCCAAAACGGGAGUGUGCAGUCAGGGCCUGCGGUCUGGCCCCAUGAGUCUCCUUCCGUCCUCAGCGGGCAGGGAACACCUCUGGCUUGUAGAAGGGACGGCUCAGUGGCUGCACCGACGGUCCUGGAAAUCUCACAUGGUGGGCACUGCAGCGUUGGAACGUGAGCCUCGGAUUUCCUGGCCCCUCUACUGUAAAUGUGCCUUAGCCUAAGCCUCCCAUCCUGUGUUAGCGUUGCCUGGUGCGGGGCAGGGCCUAACAAGGAAACCUGGGCCCUCCAAGCCAGGUUGAGGUCUGGUAACAGAAUGCCAGGAAGGGGGCCUGGAAGACCACCUGCCCCGGCCCCUCUCCUGCAGGGGCCCCACACAGGCAUGAGGGAUGGCCCGGCCAAAGUCUAGGCAGAAGCCUCCUAUAACAAAGGGUGGUGUGGCCUGGGCAUUGGAGUCA